GACGAACGCUGGCGGCGUGCUUAACACAUGCAAGUCGAACGGAAAGGCCUCUUUCGGGGGGUACUCGAGUGGCGAACGGGUGAGUAACACGUGAGUAACCUGCCCUUGACUUUGGGGUAACUUCAGUAAACUGGGGCUAAUACCGGCUAGCAGCUCCUGCUGCAUGGUGGGGGUUGGAAAGUUUCGGCGGUUGGGGAUGGACUCGCGGGUUAUCGGCUUGUUGGUGGGGUAGUGGCUUACCAAGGCUUUGACGGGUAGCCGGCCUGAGAGGGUGACCGGCCACAUUGGGACUGAGAUACGGCCCAGACUCCUACGGGAGGCAGCAGUGGGGAAUAUUGCACAAUGGGUGGAAGCCGGAUGCAGCAACGCCGUGGGCGGGAUGACGGCCUUCGGGUUGUAAACCGCUUUCGCUCAUGACGAAGCUUUGUGUGACGGUAGUGGGUAAAGAAGCACCGGCUAACUACGUG
rnacentral:rRNA from 1 species